GGCACAGACGGCGGGGGGCGAGAUCAGAGAGGGUCACCAGGGAGCCCAGGCUUCGCAGGGGUGCCCAUGUCACAGCUCCUCUCCUGGGCCUGACCUCGGCGCGUCCGGAGCCCCCGCCGCGGGGCAUCGCUACAGCCCAUGGUCCAGCAGCAAAUGUCAAACACUCAGGUGCCUGCUGUCAAGCUCUGACACAGACCUUCCAAAGACCCACCUUGAACAGUAACCACGGAGCUGCUCAGGUUCCAGAACGGGCCUGCAGGAGGGCAGAGCGUCACUGCUUUGCAGAGAAGCAACGUACAAAGAGCUCAUCCGCUCCAUGAAGGCAGUGAGGUGUGAAGACACCGUCGGGAGAGAAAGGAGCCAGUUUCUCUAACACCUGUUGCCAUCCUCAAGCUGUCACAACAAAUCCCAACAACAGGGUGCCGGGCACGUGCCCUGCCCCCUCCAGGCAUGAGCGCUCCGGGACAAGGUCCCCUCCUACCUGCGCGAGUGCGGGACCUCGCCAGUGCCGCCGACACGCUGGUGGUGCCCCUGAGCAGCCUGGCCCGCUGUACCCGCGCCUGCCACUCCCAGCAGCUCCUGAAGAUGUUCUGGACAGGUGGUGUCCCCGUGGGGAACGACCACCUUGGUGCUGACCGGUGGGCGGUCGGCGUAGGUGAGGCGCUGCUGGGGCCUGCUCUGGUUCCAGGACCCAUGUCUGCACAGAGGGGAGCUCAGGCCCCCUGUCCCGCAGGUGCCCGCAUGAAGCACCACGUCCUCGCCAGGCAGGCCCUGCGGAUGCUCCAUGAGGACCCGUCCCCAUGCACAGACAAGUGCUGGUGCCUGGCCCAUCCUCCACAUGCCACUCCCGCGUUGCUGGGCAGAUUGCGGCUCAGAAGGCCAGUGGGGGGCCCUGAAGGCCAUGGCCGCCGCUGAGCACCCGUGUCACAAGCACAUGUGAGGGCUCCCUGUGCACCACCUGGGGCGGUAGCCCUGUCCUGGAGCAGAGCAGCCUCCUGACCUCACAGGCCCCGCAGGUGCCCCCACCCUCCCUCCAGACGCUAAAGCUCUCCACUUGCCCAGGCAGGCCGUCUGGACACCAUGCUGCUCUCAGGGGCACCAGGGCCUGCAUGGGCUCUCCUCGUCUUCUCCAGAGCCUGUCCCAGCGCCCACCCUGCUCUCCACUGCAUUUGGCGGGACUUGCCUGGUAGCCGCCCCACCCUCUGGAGCCUGGUGGAGCACCCUGCCCCCGCCACCCCUCCCAGACCCCCACCCAUACAGCAUCAGGUGCACUGGCCACCUGCCCCAUCCUGUGACCGCCCGCUCCCCACACGUGGCCCCAUGGCCCCUGCUCGUCUCUGACACGUGCACUUCGUUGCAGAUGCUGCUGCAUGUGGCUAACGGCAUCCCGCAGGAGCUGAGGGCGCACAUGCUACCCUCCCUGCCCUCCAGCUUCUUCCACGGCGAGGUGGGUCUGCGUGGGGCCUCUCCUCCAGCCUGCCAUCUGAUCUCCCCAUGGCCAUGGUCCCUCGCUCUGCGGGCUGGGCGGCCUCACUCUCCACUUUGCCUUUUCUUGGGCACCGCUCAGCACCUGUGGGGAGGACUGCUCGGGCCUGGUCUCGUUGGCGGCAGCUGGAGCACUGCCCUCACCACCAUCUGCCCGCCAGCUGGGCCUCAACGCCUGCGUGCUCCUCUGUGUCCAAGCCACUCUCCACAUGCUGCCCACAGGGCUGCCCUGCACACACCCCUGCUGGACAUCACCCUUGCCUUUAGGGUGAGGCCGGCGACUGGGUGCUGGGGGCGCCAGAAGAGCGUCGUCCUCUAAAGCGUCUCUUUCACUUGCUCCGUAGGAAAACUGGGUGCUGAAGCUGUUUCUAGAAGGCCUCUUGCACAAAACCGCCAUCCUCCUGGAUGUGGUGGGCAUGAUUAUGCAGGACCCAAGCAACCGACCAGGAGCCCGCCCUGCGUGAGUCCUGAUGCUCUCGGCCGCCAGCCGCGCAGUCACAGCGUGAGGCCACUCCUUGGCCCAGCUCCUGGUUCAGGCGACAGUCCUGGCCCCAGCAGGCAGGUCUGCGCCGGUCUCCUCUGAUAAAGCAGCAGAGAGCAAGCUGCUCCCAGAACCAGCAGACAGCUGGCCAUGCCUGCCCUGGCCGGCAUUGCUCCACCUCAUCAGAGGACGGUGUGUGCAGUCAGCUGCAAAGCCCAGAAUGCAAGGGGCCCUCCCUGCUCACAGACCCCCACCAGCGCCGCCUGGCUCUCAGAGGGGAUUCUCAGCAGUCACUGCCCAGAGCUGGGUGCCACUCCAUGUCAGGAGGAGGCUGGGAGCCCGGGUAGGGCCCUGCCUUUGCAUCUAUGGGCCGGAUGCCGGGGCCACGGCAUGCUGGGCAAGGAGACUCGGUCCCCGCCACAAGCAUCCGUCCCCCUCGCCACCCUUAAGGUGCAUAUGCCUUUAAAGAUGCAAACCAGUAGACUCAGUGGCGACACACCGGGCCCUCUGAGUGGCACAGGCCUUAUCAGGAGGGGACCCCGCAUAGCCUGUGGACACAGUGAGACCAGAGCCAGCCACGUGCUGGAAUGUUUCAUGCUUGUGCAGGUGGUAGGCCCUGGGCCCUGACUACAUGAGUGAGCUGCUGUGCCUGUCCCUGAGCUUCGAGGGUCCAGAAACGCAGCCCUUCAGCCUCUUCCUGUCCCACGUGGUGGCAGAAACCUGAGUGGUGUCCCUGGGCAAAGUCGCUCAACCUUCAUUGUCUCUAAAACCUUCAGGAGGCCGCACCUCGGCCACAAACCACCUGUAGCUGAGCAGAUUCGUGUCUGUCGUUUCCCUGGGAAGACACUGGAAUGCCCAGGUCGGCCGGCCAGGGGAGCGGCAUCCGGACUCCCCAAGACAGCCGGCCCUCGGGAGGUGCUGGGGCUGCCUCCUGGGGAAGAGACAGGCAGGGCUGGCGGUGCCCCGCCUGCCAGCGUGUGUUCAUGGGUUCAUGUGACCUCAGGUGCGGCUGGAGCCCCGACAGCUGUCAGGAUGCACCACGUUAACCAAGGCCGGUUCCCCAAGACCAGGGCCGUCCGCCCACGACACCCCUGGAGUCAUUCUUUGUGUUUUUGCACACAUGAGUCUAAGAGCCUAAAUUAUUUUUGGAAAUCAUUUUCAAACUUUCAAAGAUUAUGUAAAAGCUAUCUGGUUUUUUGAGCAAUGUUUAACUGAGUGAAGUAAAAAGUUUCUUUGGUAUUUUUUCAGUGCCCAUGUUCACCUCUGCUGGUUUUGAUUCCAGGGAUGGGGAACAAGUCGGUACGUCCCCCUGCAGCCACCAGGCCCAUUUGUUGUCACUGUGCCUCAGGGCGGGGGUGGCAUGCAGCCUCUUGUUGCCCCAAGGGUCC
rnacentral:lncRNA from 1 species